rnacentral:tRNA from 1 species
CAGGCUGUAGUGAAACGGGAUCAUGCCGGUUUUGGGUACCGGUGGUGGAGGUUCAAUUCCUCCCAGCUUGA